rnacentral:lncRNA from 1 species
GUUUAGUGAUAAGAGCAAGUGCAGUUAUUUUUGAACGCACAAUACAAUAUUGUGUUGCACUACAAACAGUAUAUUUCUAAUAGAGGCAAUAAAUGGAUUUUGUAAAAGUGAGACACAAGACUGAUUAUAAUAGGGACAGUUUCUUUGGACCUUAAAUAAUCCAACCCAUAGUACCACAUAGCAUUACAACUAGUUAAUUAGUAAACUUGUGACAAGACAAAAUUAGCUUAAGAGAGUACCUAUGCAAAAGAAUUAAUCAUUCAAACUCACAUCUUGAUAAACGACAUCAACAAAGCAUAACCUGAAGCUAAGCAUUGAGAAGCACAACUGAUCGAGACAAUUUGGCCCUCAGAUGUCGCUUAAUUUUCUUUCAUUUUUUUCACUUCUGAUCAACAGGAGGUGACUUCCUAUCAUUGGUCCAGAAACCAUGGAAACAAACUACUGUAUUCCUCCACUUCAAAACUACAGCAAGAUACUAUUUCUCAGGUGUCCUUCAAGUGAGCUGAUAAUUAACUACUACAUAUAUGCAUGAAUAGGAUAGCUUGAGACUCAUGAAAGACAUCCUUGAAAUUAUUACUUUCCAAUCCAUUAAACAACUAAAAGAUGAGAUUUAUAAAAGGUCAUGUUUCAUAAUUUUGUCCUAGCUAUAUAGCAAAAUAUUCCCUGCUAGAUAACAAAGUAUCUCAUAUAUUAGGCCAAUCCCAUGGCUGACUAUGAUUCCACUUUUCAGUAAGGUACAGAAAGUUCAGAUCCUGCUGGAGAAAUGCAUCCUCCACACUAUAGCAUCUAAAUUGAUCAUUAAAUUUCCUCCCUUAUAGAAAGAAACAGCUAAUGGAAUUUUCCAUGUACCAUCGCAGUACUUGUCCAACCUUUGUGGUCAUGCAGAAAUUCAGCUCAUAGAUCUUCUCAUUUGGACAAUUUUUAAAAUAAAAAUGAGAAGCAUCACUUAGAAUCAAUUGCCAAAACACAACCAAGUCUAUCAAAAAUUAAUCUUUGCCAGAUCUUCAUCCAAUAACAUCAGGUCAGUCCUUACAGAAGGGAAUAGUUCUAGAUCACAGCAAGUUCUGGUGAGUCAUAAUUUUUUUUCCCCUUAUCUAAGGACGAGUUCAAAAUUGACAAUUUUUAAAAUAAAAAUGAGACGCAUCACUUAGAUUAAAUUGCCAAAACACAACCAAUUCUAUCAAAAAUUAAUCUUUACCAUAUCUCCAUCCAAAAACACCAGAUCAGUCCUUACAGAAGGGAAUAGUUCUUGAUCACAGGAAGUUCUGGUGAGUCAUAAUUUUUUGUCCCCUUGUAUAAGGACGACUUCAAAAUUGACCAUCUGAACAAAAAAAUAUUUAGGAGUUUCUGGUUGCCACUACGUUAAAUGCAUGCUUACAUGCACUUACCUGCUUCUAAAUGCAUGCUUACAGUACAUGAACUUGCUUACCUAUUUAAUAAAUGCAUGCUUACAGUACAUGUACUUACCAACUUCAUAAAUGCAUGCUUACAGUACAUGUACUUACC